rnacentral:lncRNA from 1 species
AUCUAUCUACCAUCAAACUAUGUCCUUUUGGUCCUGUUUUUCUGGAGAACCCGAAUACAGGUAGGCAUUGUUAUUUCCCCCAUUUUAAAAGUGAACAAGCUGGGGUUUCAGUAUAAUAUGCUGGGUUAAACAGGUGGUAGGCACAUCCUGACCUUCGACACAGAAGUUGACUCCAGAGCCCUUGAAAGGACCCAUCAUACUAUUUGUGACAAAGGAAAACUUUGCUGGCUGGAUAUAUCACUGGAAUUUUGUGCCUAAUUUUUACUAAUUUUUAAAGGGUCUAUCACACAGCCCAGAAGUUUAACUGAAUCUAGAUUGAUGAACAGAAUAUAAAUCCAUUCCUUCCAGCAUUGUCCUGCCUACCCUCUGCCGUACAACUCUCCACAUGUUUUUAUGCUGUCCAGGUAUCGGUGCCAUGGUCUUACCUAACAGAAUAUAUAGCUUUCUUAAAGAGAAUGUUCUUUGGAGGAUAUAGCAGGGGAGCAGAAUAAAGGACCCAUUCAAAAUCCCUUAAAGGAGUUUUAAUCACCUAUAUCUACCUGUUGUGGGCAAGCAGCUGAAAUUGCUUUGACUGCCUGUCUGCUGAAAACCAGAUUAUAUUUUCAAGCUUCCAGACCUACAUCAUAAUCCUGAAACAAGACUCGUCACUGCACAGCUCAGCAUUUGUUGAGGAUCAUUUUCCUGCAGAACUAAAAUCACACAUUCUUAAAAUUACAGUGUUUAGAUGCUUUGUGUUUUGAACACACUGAUUGAUUAAUCUACAGCUGCUUCUGGGUGCUCAGCAAUUUUCACGGGUCUUGUUGCUAUGAGACGAGGACUUCUCUGAAAUCGCCAAUGUGACAGGCAUCAUGAAGAGGCGGUGAGUUCUGCCUGUUAGCCACAGUGCCACCAAGCGGUCAUUCUUCAAAACAGUUCGACAAAGUCGAUUUGCGUUUCCACUGUUCUCUAAUUACAGCACGGUCAGGUCGUCUCUCAGAUAAAUUAUUAGCAGGUUAACUGAACAGUGGGGUAUUGUUUACUCUCUUCAUAUUCUUCUGCACACAGUGAGGAUUUUUUCCUCCAAUGAAUGAAUCAUGCCAUGGCAAGCAGGAUGGAAAAAAGAAUGGUGGACUGGUUGGCAGAAGG